GGUUUCCUUUUUCUUAUGAAAUAGUUUGGAGUGGACCGUAGGUUGGUAUUUUUUUUAUGAAUCUGAAGAAGAAGCAAAGGCGAAAUCAAUUGUUUCAGCAGUCGUGGAGAAGUUGGGUUCGUUGAUGAUGAUCCCCGAAGAGAUAAAACACAAUGUUGGGAUUGCCCUGGCUCUUGAGGAAGAAAUCCAAAAAAUGACAACCCAUUUUCAGGAUAUCCAAUCAGUUCUUCAAGAUGCAGAUCGAAACAGAUACAGGAUGCCAAUGUGAGAAAUUGGUUAAAGAAACUCAAAGAUGUGGCCUAUGAUGUUGAUAAUGUGUUAGAUGAGUGGAAUACAGCGAAACUCAGAUCUCAACUUGCGAAAGAACAAAAAGAAGUUGAAGAUUUUCCCUUGCUAAAGAAGAUACGCUAUUCUAUCUCUUCUUUUACCUCUCAAAGUAUUCUGUACUAUAGUAUUGCUUCAAAGAUAAACGGCUUGAAUGAACAACUUGAUUGUAUAGCUACUGAAAAAGAAAGGUAUAGGCUUGCGUUAGAGAAGGGAGUUGAAGAACCCAAAAGGCAAAUAACUGCGUCUUUCACCGAUGAAGAAGAGGUUUAUGGUAGGUGUCAAGAGACAACAAUUCUAGUGAACAUGUUGGUCGGAGAGAAUAGUAACGGAGGAGGGGCGAGCCUCCAUGUCAUCUUUAUAGUAGGGAUGGGAGGAAUUGGAAAAACGACUCUUGCUCAGCUGGUUUACAAUCACAAUGAUGUUGAAUGUCAUUUUGACAAGAGAAUAUGGAUGUGUCUCGGACACUUUCGAUGAAAGAAGGAUUGCCACAGAGAUCCUUGAAACAUUUAAAGGCGAAACUCCAAAUUUUGUUGGAAAGGACAACAUUAUGCAGCAAAUUCGUAGUCAUGUUGUGGGGAACAAAAUACUCCUCGUGUAGGAUGAUGUGUGGACUGAAGAUCCAACAAAAUGGGAGCAAUUGAAAAAUUCCCUCAAGUAUUGCUCUAUUGGGAGUAGAAUUUUGAUAACCACUCGUAAUGAAAGAGUUGCUAUAACUAUGGGAACAACAACAGUAUAUUUAUUUCCAUUACAUUCCCUGUGAAUGUUGUUCAUUACUUAGCCAUAGAGCAUUCUAUGGUAGGAGAAGAGAGGAGAGUGAAAAUUUAAAAGAUAUCUGCAGGAAAAUUGCAGAAAAGUGCCACGGCUUGUCACUUGCUGCAAAGAUUCUAGGCGGCCUGCUGCGGUUCAAGAGAACCAGAGAACAAUGGCAAAGUUUCUUGGAUAGCAAGAUAUGGGGCAUUCAAGAGGCUGAACGAGAUCUUUUCCCUCCAUUGUUUUUGAGUUAUUGCGAGUUACCUUCAGCUCUUAAGCAGUGAAUUUCUCAUUGUGCUGUCUUUCCGAAAGGCAAGAUCUUAAGCAAAGAUGAAUUGAUCAAGUUGUGGAUGGCUCAAGAUUACCUGAAGGCAGUACGAGGUGAAGAGAUGGAGAUUGAGGGUGUGGAAUAUUUUGAUGAGCUAAUGAUGCGAUCUUUUUUUCAGGAUUUUAAAAGGGUUGAACUUGAUAAUGGUAUUCUGGAAUUUAAAAUGCAUGAUAUAGUACACAAUUUUCUUCAACUUUUAACGAAAACUGAAUGUUUGGUGCUAGUAAAUGAUGGUUUUCAAGAGUUCAGAGUAGAUUCUUCUUGUGAAAAGGCUCAUCAUGUAACAUUGAUUUGCAAAGAACUUGUACCAACUGACCCUGAUAUUUGCUACUUCAAAAAGGUGCGAAGCCUCCUUAAUGACUCAGGCAAUCAUGAUACUUCAUCAGUAAGCAUAUUUUUGCCCGAGUUGUUUGAUCAACUGACUUGUAUAAGGACAUUAAAUUUGAGUGGCAGUUUGUUUGGAAAUUCAGUUGACGAACUUCGUAAUCAAAUAGGAAAGUUGGUUCAUUUGAGAUACCUUAACUUGAAACAUAAUAGAAAAUGGAAAGAAUUACCUGAAUCAGUAUGCGAGUUAUGUAAUUUACAAACCUUAAACCUCACAUGGUGUGAUAGUCUUAAAGAAUUGCCAUGUGGAAUUGGAAAAUUAGUUAACUUGAGGCAUCUUGAUAAUGAACGGAUGGACUUGAGCUUGAUGGCAGUGCCGAAAGGAAUUGGAAGAUUAACAAACCUUCGGACACUAAGGGUGUUCGUGGCAGUGGAUGGUGGCACUAAUAACGAAGCAUCUACUCUUGAAGAUCUUCAAAACAUAAUGCAUCUUCGAGGACAUCUUAAGGUAAGUGGAUUAGCAGUUCGUGAUGUGACUGAAGCUGAGAGAGCAGAACUUCAAAACAAAAAAGGCCUUCGCAGUUUGAUACUAGAUUUUACUAUUUCCAAGGGGUUGAUGCCAGAGACAUGGAUGAGAAGAGAUGAUGGAAGACUUCUUAAAGCUUUACAACCACCUCCUUGCUUGGAAAAGUUAGAGAUAUGGUGCUACAAUAGCACCAUCAUUUUCCCCAACUGGAUGAUGGUUCUAACCAAGCCGAGGCAUGUUUCACUGUGUUUAUGCUUUCAUUUAAACUUGUUGCCUCCCUUGGGGAAAUUGUCAUCCCUCGAAUCACUUUACAUAGGGAAAAUGAGAAGAGUAGAGAAAGUGGGAGUUGAAUUUUUGGGUGUAGAAAGAGAAGAGAUAUCGGCAUUAUCCUCAUCUUCAUCAUCUAUCAUUGCCUUUCCUAGUUUAAAACAUCUUUAAUUUUGUGAUGUGGAAGAGUGGGAUUAUUGGAUCCCAUUAAAGAGCAGAGAAGAAGAAGAACAUAUUAGUAUUAUGCCUGGGCUGGGUUCCCUAACAAUUGAUUCCUGUCCAAAGUUAAGGGCACUGCCAGGCUACAUUCUUCAGAAUACAAAUCUAAAGCAAUUGGAUAUAGGUCAGAGUCCUAUUCUUUCAGAACGUUGCAGAAAGGAGACAGGAAAGGAGUGGCCUAAAAUCUCUCAUAUCCCUAGCAUCAUAAUUGAUGGUCUAUGCUUGCAAGUUCACUGCUCUUCUAUUGAAGAGUUUGGAGUUUUGCAAUUGCAACCACCACAAAAGCUCUUUGUCAAGUUCUAACAAUUUCCUCAAAGCGUUUCAAGAAAAUUGAUGUGUAUCAAAAAGGAGAGGAACUGGAUUUUCAGGCAAGUAAGUUGGGAUGUCAUUGCCUAGAAGGAAGGUGAUUAAAGCAUGUUGUGUCUCUUUGUUUCUUAAGAUUUUGCUUGAUACUAGUGAAGAUGGAAACACUUGGACGAGAAUAGUGAAAGAAUCAGCGUUAUCAUUUAUCGUACCUUGAUCGUCCGUUUUGAAAUUGAAGUGUCACUUCCCCGUUCAUCCCAAUUGUUGCAUUUUAUUAUACUUAUUUCUUUUCUUCUAGGUACAUUUAGUACAAAGGAGCAAAGUUAUUUAAGCUCUGCGCUUUAAGAUGAUUUAAGAAAAUGAAGAAACUUUCAAUCUCUUUGUUCUUUUGGGGUUAUAAUAUAAAUUGCUGUACUAUCUACCCUUUAAACUGAAAUUUCCAACAAAUUUAAAGCAUAAGAGAACCUAGUAUAAAUUAAGGACUUGACUUUUAUUGCUCUCACAUCUACAUUGCCAAGCAACAAUCUCAGAAAGUUUGCAAUUGGUGGUUUUUAAUUGUAUCGCUCUUGCAUUUGGAUAGCAUUUUCAGCUUUUAUUGUUUUUUCAGGGGAUUGGGGGAAAAAAUCGGUGAACCAUUGAGUCAUAAGACAGUUCAUUACUUUAGUUUAAAAUUAAAAUAAAAGAUAUUUUUAAUUAUGAUACUUCUAGUUGAAUAGUCCACCAUUCAUCGUUAUUUCUGUAUUUAUGUUUAAAUAUAUAUUUUUAUCAUUCAUUUAAAUCUCAAUUCUAUUAUUACAACAAUUAAUCUUAUCAAUCUCAUCAUCAACAUCAUUAUUUUCAUUUUCAGAGUCUAUCAUACAAUCAAAUGACAUUUUUUCUGUUUUAUUUACAACUUGUAUACCUAAAGUUAGCCAUCCGGAAAAGUUUACCAAACCGUUUCAAGGCAUUGACAAUGACACAGAAUGAUAUCUGCAGCAAAAUAUUUAGUAAUUAAAUUUAAUAGUACUUUGGCUUAAAUAUUCAGCAAACAAAAAUCACCCAACACCCUUGCUGCACCAUAUAACUAAUCAUUUCUCAUUGCUUUUCCAUCAAAUGAUCAAAACCCAAAUCUCUUCUGCUACAAAGAGAAGAAAUAAAACUUUCACAAUUGGCCACAGUCACAAACAAACUUAAUAAAGAGAAAGCAAACAAAAAACCCACCUUCCUCUGAACAUAAACACUCUCUCUUCCUUACACACUCCUAAGUCCUAAGUAACAUUUUUCUCACACAUACAACCUUCACCACCAGCAGAACCACUGUCGCCGUACCACUACAUUGCUUUGCCACACCAACCUCGUGAUUAAAACUACGUCAUUUUGCCCUACUAUCACC